UACGGAGGGGGCUAGCGUUGUUCGGAAUUACUGGGCGUAAAGCGCACGUAGGCGGCUUUGUAAGUUAGAGGUGAAAGCCCGGGGCCCAACUCCGGAAUUGCCUUUAAGACUGCAUCGCUAGAGUUGUGGAGAGGUAAGUGGAAUUCCGAGUGUAGAGGUGAAAUUCGUAGAUAUUCGGAAGAACACCAGUGGCGAAGGCGACUUACUGGACACAUACUGACGCUGAGGUGCGAAAGCGUGGGGAGCAAACAGG
rnacentral:rRNA from 1 species